rnacentral:lncRNA from 1 species
UGCAUCUUCAUCAACCGAUAGGUAAGCUUUCCCGCCAAAAUGUCCAUGUUUGGAAUAUGAGAAAAAGGAGUUAAUAGAAAUUCAUAUUGGAUGUAACAAGGAUAUAAUUAUUAUAAUCAGUGUUUUAUUUCACUGUUUAAUGUGUUCUCAAUUUGUGAGUAUGUAACUGUUCAAGACAUUUCAAUAGCGGAACGGAAGAACACAUUUUGACCGGUUUAGGCUAUACUGAUUGUCCUUUUUAAUUUAUAAUCUUUAAAUUUUUUUGAUAAGUUUGGAUUUCAUUUUUUUGGCUAAUAGUUUGGCUAAGAGUAUCACUGAAGAUUAUUAUCGAAACAAUCAACUAGUGUAGAAGGUACUGUUAAUUUAAUAUUUAUUUUUAAAAAAGUGAUAAUAAGCAUAUUUUCUUGAACAGAAAACAAGAUGUUGGUUUUUUUUUUCUUAAAAGUCCAUUUUUUAGUUUCCAUUUUCUAACGGUAUCUUUGACUGUUUUGAAAUCGUGAAAUAAUUCUUGUCCGGUCCUCUCAAAAUAAAUUCAAAAUAAGUGUGAAAUGUUUUAAAUAGUUUUCGAUAUAGUUUCAUAAUAAUUAGCUACGGCAGGUAUGUUUUAAUAAGUUUAAUAAAAUUGUGUUGUACAUAAUUUGAUUCCGCAUUUAAAUGAUUAUCAUUCAAUUUUUUUUUAUUUCGUUUUUCUUUCUUUUGUCUUUGUUGUCAUUGAUGCAUUUGAAGAUCUGGUUUAGAGAUUAUAUUUGUUCUAUUGUUCUAAAAAUAAUGAAUUGAUAGAGUUUACAAAAUUUAGAUUUUUUGAAAUACUAAGGCUUUUCUUCCUCGGGCAUAGAUUACCUUAGCUGAAUUUGGCAAAACUUUAGGAUGUGGCCCAUGCUCUUCACUUCGUACCUAUUGCUUUUUAACUUUUGGAUUCGAGCUCACUGAGUCUUUUGUAGACGAAACGCGCGUCUUGUGUAUAUACAAAAUGUAGUCCUGGUAUCUAUGAUGAGUUUAUUUACAUUUAUCUUCAUGUAACCCUGUUUUGUCUACACGUUUGUAGUGUUCCUGAAUGUUAAAGCGACACUUUCGAUAAUAUCAGUAUUAUUUACAUUUCGAUGUAAUGUUUUUAAAAGAUAAUGCUAUUUACUAAUUAAGAUACUUAAUGUAUUUCGUAUUAUAUACUCCAUUUGGAAAAUAUUACAAAUCGAGAGAGGGGUAAUCUUACAUAUUACGAAGAAUCUUUAAUGUUCCGAACUUCAUUACUGUUUUUAAGUUGUUUUUUGUUAGAGUGCAUAUAACAUGGAAUUUCAAAUAAAAGCAUAGAAAUUUUAAGCAUGAAAGAUGACAUUUUUAAUGCGACAAACUUAACUAUAUAUGCUUCGAAAAAAACAAGAGAUUUCAACAUAGUAAACAAUCUUAAACUCUUAUCAAAUUAAAUUGUUAUAAAGUUAUUUAAGUCAGUCAUGUAUAUCGGCGUUUAUUUUUGUUGCAGUUCAGUGUUUAUGUUGUUCCGUUGUUUUUCUCUUAUAGUUGAUUUUUUCUCAUUUAGCUUGCAUCGUUUUUUUUGGUUUGUUAUAAAUCGAUUUAUGUCUGCUGAACAGUGGUAUACUACUGUUGCCUUUAUCUAUACUUACUUCUCCAUAGUUUACAUUGUGUUCCUUGCAAUCUACAUCAUUGGCUUAGUUUAUCAAAACAUACAGCAGUGAUCCAUAUAGUUCAACAGAUAGUUAAACAGUGUACAUAAAAAAUAAACCACAAUCGUUUCCUAACUUUGUUAGACCUAAUCAAGAGAUCAUUCGACUAUUUUCAUACGUCCACCAUUUCAGUGGGCCUAUUUCUUUGAAUUACAAAUUUAUUCAACAAAUUAUUCCUAGAUAUAGGUUAAGAUAUGAGGAUUGACGUAUUUAAAGGGAAAAUUAAUGCUUAUAACUAUAUUUCAACAGCGUCUUUAUCUUAUGAUUUUUUUUUCAGGCAGUGAUGAAUAUUUUAGGGCCCUUGCUUUUACUGGCCUUCGCCGGCCAGGUAAAAGCUUGGUGGGCACAACCUACUGGUUACGGAGGCGGACAUGCACAAGCUUCUGCCCACGCAUCUGCAACAGCACAUGCAUCUGGAUAUGGCGCAACACACUCAGCAGGAUACGGAGCUUCGACACAUUCGUCAGGCUAUGGAGGUGGACAUGCUGCGGCCGCUGGUCAGCAGGGAGGGAACUAUUCUCCACCGGGAUACGGAUACGGCAGCUAUACUAAACCUGUUGACUGCGUAGUAUCUGCCUGGGGUGCCUGGAGUCAACCCGAUGCUAGUGGCUACUCUAGUCGUUUCAGACAAGUGAAAACAACGCCAACUAAUGGUGGACGUAGUUGUCCAGUAUUGGUUGAAACGAAACUUGGUAAGUCUUAGCAAUAAAAAUAAUUUGUUGUUUAAACGUGAGCCUAAUCCAAAUACGGAUACUUUUUGACAAAAUUGAAACAUUUUCCUUUUCAAACAAAUUUUUAACAGUUCGUAAGAACUAUUCUAAGAAACAAAAACAUGGAGAACAUGUUUUUUCAAGAAAAGGACCAGUGUCAUCAACAUUGAUAAAAAGUUUAUUUUAAAAAUUUAAUAUGCUUAUGGUUGUCAAAGGUAGCAGGAUUAUAAUUUAGUACGCUAGACGCGCGUUUCGUCUACAUUAAUGGCAUUGAAUACAAGGAUUCAUUAUUACUCGUUGGAUACCAAUUUUCUUAGGUUCCGUUGGUACAGGUGAACCACGAUUUCAAAAUGGUCAACAAAUUACAAAUUUUAUAUAAGCUUUGUAUGCAGGAACUGGCAAAUGAACGAAAUUAAAUUUCCAGGACAAUCUAAUUUUUCCUAAAUCCACGAAAAUUGAUACUCACGGAAAUAAAUGAAUCCACAGUAUGCAACUUUUUAUGCAUAAACUAGUCAAGAGACUUUAACAGUAAAAAAUCUAAAACCUAGUUUAUAUGUUCUUGAACUCAAAAUGUUAAUAGCUUUUCUUGAAGUUAAUAGUCACUGGAAAUGAAACUGCUAAAGAAAAUAUAGUGAUCUGGUCAAAAAAUUGAACUUGACAACUUUAACGACAUCCAUAUAAAACAAUUUCUAAAUAGCGAGUAUAAAUGAAAAUAAUAUUUUUUUUUUAUUCAAACAGUCACAAUCGACUGCAAGAUGGGGCCAUGGGGCGACUGGGUUGCCAUAGAUGGCGCUCCUGGUAACUACAAUCGAAAAAGGGACACAUUGGUUCAUCCACUUAACGGUGGUCAAUCUUGUCCUCCUUGUACUGAAUACAAAAGAGGUAAGGUUUUUUACAUUUACAAUUUCUAUAUCAAAGAUAUUAUUCGGGGUAUUGGUAGAAGCAGUUCUCUAUACAGUCUCACCUCGCUAUUAAGUUACACUUAUAAUAUAUAUAUAUGUGUGUGAUUUAGACUGAUUUUUUAAAAAUCAUAAUAUAGAGUAAUGAUAGAGGUAUAGAGUUGUUUUUUAUCGACCUUGUGUUGAACUAUUGUUUACAUAUGAUUGCACAAUGAUAAAACCAGAGUUCCCUUAUUUAAUUUUUAAUGGUGCAUGUGCAUCUUCGAAUAUGAGAGAGGUUAACUGUCACUUUCCUUGAUCACACAUCUUAACUAAACAGUUCUUAGAUAAUUACAUCAUUUUUACAAGGUUGUUGAUGUUAAAAAUAUUUCACUUUUUGGAAUAAAUUUGUUAUAAUAAAAUAUUUGAUAUAGUCGAUAGAAAGAACACCACAUUUGACAUUACUGAACUUAAGUGUCAAGAUCAUAUCUAUAGAUAAAAAAGAGUAGGUGGUGAUUUCAAUUUGAUAAAAACAAUUAUAAACAAAAAAAAAUAUAAUCUUUCCUGAUCAACUUUAUGCAAUCAAUCACCAAGGAUGACCCCAUUAUUUAUCAACAUCACGAUUAUUUCUGAAUCCAUGCAUCUAAGAAUUUAGUUCAUUAAUUAAGCUACUUCUUAGCAUACUAGAUUUGAAAAAAGGACCAUGUUUGACGAAAUGUUUUGUGGGUUUCAACGACAUAUAUUAAUAUAAUCUACUUUAUUCGUUGAUGGGGACUCGUGUGUAUCGUAACGUGUUAAUUAUAUGUAUGUAAUCUGUGUAUGCUAUAUUGGCAUUUUUUGUUGCAAUUCGGUAAUACUGUUGUGUCGUUGUUUUCCUUUUUUAGUUAAUGUGUUUCCCUCGGUUUAAGUUUGUAACCCGGAUUUGUUUUCUCUCAAUUGAUUUAUGACUUUUGAACAGCGGUAUACUACUGUUGUCUUUAUAAAACUCAUGUUUGCCGGUCUUUUUUUUAUCAUUUUUUCAUGUUAAGGGUCUUUUACUUAAUUAUUCAAUAACAUCAACGGAACCAAUUUUAUUGGAACCAGAUGCAUUUCGACAAUUUAUGUUUCUUUAUUAAUGAUCGAGGCAAAAUAUUUGAAAGUCAAUAAACUAGUACAAACGUUGAAAAGCUGCUUGUAUGGACGUAAAGGGGACAGACAUAGGUUAAGUAAUAUAAAUCAUAAAAUCACUAGUAAUUUGUUUGUGUCAACCAUUUUCAUAAAUACAUUCUGAGCUUCAAGAUUAAAUAGAUUAUUCCCAAUCCGUUUCAGGUAAAUGCUUAAAACAAAUUGAUCAAACUUGGCUUUUAUGAACGUAUAACUGAUUUUAAGAGUUAUCUCCCUGAACAUUAGUAUCGGAUUACAACAAUGUUCUUUGUCGUCCAUAGAUUAUCAAAUGCUUUAAGAUUUUUUAGUUACCCAUAAUCUAACUACUAGUAAAUUGUUGAUAAUAUGCAUCCUCAGUCAUGUCAAAACUGGCUAAAAGUGCUUUUUAGAUGUUUAAAAAGACAAUAUUUUAACACAUAGUUCAAUGUUAAAAUGAAAGAAAGCCGAACGCUAUAUUCCGUACGUGUUACUAUAAAAGGAAUUAUGAUUAUUAACUCGUGGCUAGAACUGUUCUCGUUCAGAUUGUUCAAAAGUACAAAAUUACAACACAGCCACACUAAUUUUCAAUAGGUAAAUUCGACAAGAGAUUCGAAAGCAUCAAUACGAUGCAUGUGCAAACGGUCAAUGACAUUAGAAUCAAUAACUUUUUAUAUCUUUUUAUGAGUUAUUUUUUUUUUUCAAAUAUUAAUCAUCGAAUUUUGAACAGGCCAAUACAAAAACACAUGCGACGGGACCACGUUAGACUCGAGGUUGUGCAGCCCACUACUCAAUGUUAGCUAUACAAAAUAGAAAGAUAAUGAAACUAAUUCGACACGCAAAAUUGUCUUUAUCAUUAAUGGCUCCAAAUUAAUCAUUGGAAACCAAAGAGCAUCAACUACUAAAAAACUGAAGACGAAAAUGUCGAAAGGAGAAUCUAAAACUAACUAAAGACAACAUUUCCUUAUCUUAAAACUUAUAAAGUUUUAAAAAAGAGUGAGAAAAACAUAAAUCAAAACAUCACAACAUGGUUGGAAACCACAAUUGUCGUCCCUUGAUUUUCGUUGUUUUUGUUGUUCACAAAUAUAAUCCCUAGUGUUGACAUUGGUUACUUGCCAUUAAUUUUUAUACCUCUUCCAAAUUUAUUUCUCCAUUUUUAAUGCCUCAAAUUGCAAGAAGGGGGUGAAAUUACACUGUAAAAAAAUUUGGGUUCAAAAUUUUAAAGGAAAGUAGUGAUUUGGUCCAGCUGAAAAAAGUUGAAAAUUAGCACUUCGGAAGCUGUCAAAAGAUUUCAAGACGCCCUAAACAUAAAAUUGUCCAUAUUUUGAGUUAGAGCCGAUGAAGUUUUCUAUAAUUUUGAUAUAAUUUGUCCCAAAAAUAGUACAACACACUGUAAAAAUUUCAUUGAGAAAGCGCAGGUGGGAUUUUUUUAAUUUUCAUUUAUCUUCUAAAAGAAAUGCACUACGAAAUAAUUGUGGUCUCGGAUCACAUGAGCAAACUGGUCAUUGAUCAAAUUAUUCAGAUAAUCUCAACAUGAUCAAACUUGUCAUUGUUCUGAUUAUUCAGAUUUUCUCAACAUGGAAUAAAUAGGUGAUUGUUCAAAUUGUUCGGUUCAUCUCAACAUGAACAAACAGGUUAUUGUUCAGAUUAUUCCGACCAUCUUCACCGGAACAAUCAAAUAAGAGUUCAGAUAAUUCAGACCAAUUCAACAUGAACAAACUGAGCAUUGUUCAGAUAUUUCAGAAGACAGAUCAUUUCAACUUUAACAUUUGAAGAUUAUUUUUCAGAUAAUUUUGAUCAUCUCACAAUGAAAAUGAGCCCACCCGUCAUUGUUCGGGUAAUUCAGAUCAAGUCAAAAUGAUCAUACGGACUAUUGUUUAGCUAGUUCCUAUAAUUACAACAUAGCAUAACAUGUCAUUUUUAAAAUAAAUAAAAUGAUCUCACAAUGACCAAACACGUAGUUGUUAAGAUAAAUCAGAUGAUAUCAAUAUAAUCAAACAGGUUUUUGUCCAGUUCAGAUAAUUAAGAUCUUCUCAAAAUAACCAAAAAGAAAUAGUUUAGAUAAAUCAGAUCAUCUCAAAAUGACCAAACAGAUUAUUGUUCAGAUAAUUCAGAACAGAUUACAUAGAAAGAUGGUCAGGUAAAAAAUAAAUGUGUCAUAUGAUCAUUAAUAGUUAUCCCACGAUGACGCGGUGUGUCAGUGUAAGAUCACCCCGAUGGCCGGAGGCCAGAGGGUGAUCUAACACUGACACACCAAGUCCGAGUGGGAUAACUAUUUUACAUACCAGCUGUUUUAGAUUAGACGAAAAACCAUUUACAAUUCAUAAAAUCUAGUUUAGAACGCCACACAACCAUUAAAAUAUACUUUAUACAUUACUAUAUGAUUUAUACCCUUUUUGACCCCCGAACACGAUGAGUAGAUAUCAAACAAUGUCAACUCGCCUCACUGGCCAAUCAGCCCAACCUAUAUCGCCACUUUAUGAAAAAAAUCGCCCCACUCUUGUUUACCGACUUGCCCCAGUUUUGAAAAAGUGUAAAAUCAAACUGAACAAUCACUGACAACUCACUUAUUAACGAAAAGGGUUUAAACCUCACUGAAUAAAGGUCUGCCAACUCGCCCCACUUAUGAAAAUAUCUUGCUUCCCUUAAGUAUGUUAAAUUACUGAUAGUUCGUAUCCAGUCGUCUUAGUGUAGUGGUUGUGUCGUGGCUUGAUAUGCUAAAGGUCUUGAGUUCGAAUCCCAGCAUAUACACUGGAUUUUUUCUACGUGAAUUUUGAUAGAUAGUCUUUUCGAUAUAAUUUUUAUAUUUAAUUAUAAGUUUUAUAGUGGAUUUGACAUUCCCGCCAAAUGUUACAGAACAAAGGAAAGCAUGCAUAACAAAGAAACUCAAACUGGGGUGAUCUGGUAAGGGUGGUCCGGCUCAGAUCACCCCUGUUAGAACAAAGGAGCUGGGAUGUAACUCUGCUUCUCAAAAUACUUUAUCCUAGAAACAAUAUUUUUCCUUGAAAGUUAGAUUCAUCAAUUGACAACCAUAGGUCGGCGAACUACGAAUAUAAAAUGUAGAUUAUGCGUCAUCAAUAAAUCUACUCUGCACAUUCCGAAACGUAUUCUAAUGAUUUGCAAUAUAUUCAUGACUUUACUUGCGCGUGUCAAUAAUAAUGAAGUUUAUCUAAUAAAAUGGACUUAUAUGAUAUCCUGUUAAUUUUUAUUGAGAUGUUAUUAGACAGAGUUAGGAGUUAUAAAGGCGUUACCAUAUGUAACACGUUGCAGAACUAGCCAUUGAAAAUUAACGAUUUAGAGAGUCUUUUAUGUGACAAAUAAACAGUUGAAAUGAACUUAGCAUAAAGUGCCGACGUACGCGACUAUAUAACUAGUAUCAAUUACAUGUUAGAAGCACUUCAACUUGAUUUCAUAUAUAUUGCAAAAAAGUAUAAAAAUUAAGUCACUUGAAAUAUCGACUUUUGAAAUCGUCAUCGGGCUUAAAUUUUCUGUUGAAUUGAAAGAUUUUCUAGAUAGUCGAUUCAUUUGAUAGUUUAUGAGGCUUCUAAAUUAGAACAAUGAUUUAGUUUGCAUAAUUGCAAUGUUCGUAAUAAAUGAUCAGUUUUUUGCUUUAAAACACUGUGAUAUCAGUUAUGAUCAACAUUACUGUUGAAUUUUUCUUUAUCAGUUUCAGCGAGGGAAUUUCAUAUGGCUGCCGAUUAAACAGUUGAAAUAAAAUCAUACAUUAUUUGCAUUCAUGUAAUUUUGAUACAUUAUGCAAACAAAUAAAUAAUGAACGAUUUGCAUUUGUGGAAGUUUUAAAUAGAAAUAGAUAACUCUGUUCCCGUGACCAAUAUGGUACAAUAAUUUGAAGCAUAAAUUUAAUGGAAAAAAAAUAUAUGCCUUUAAAAAAGAUGUUAAUCAAAUCCGAUUUCUACUAUUACCUUUAACCUUUUGUUUAUUCUAAAUAUUGUUAAGCAGUGCAUUUAAAAAAAAAUGUUUUUUUUUUCAUUUCCGUAUUUCUUGAUGAAAUGAUGCUUUGAAAAGUCAAAUUCUUCUGACAUAGAGCGUAAUGUUUUAGAUAAUUGCACAUAUAUAUACAUAUUCCUAUAUGAAAACAAAUAAGUCUAAAUUUUAAUCUUUUAGUUAUACGAAAAAAUUCCUUAGAAACUUUAGCGAUCAUGUCUAUAUUUUGUAAACGACUAGUUUUAUAUUUUGGAAUGUUUUGGAUUUCUAUAUUUUUUGGUCUUGAUAAAAGUUAUGUAAGAAGGACGUGGCAUUCGCACGGAAAUGAGAAGCAUAUGUUUGUUUUCUAAUCUUUCAAACCUGCGAUAUUAAAUUGUAUAUAAAUGCCAAAAUGCAAAAUCUAUAUUAAAAAAAAAAGUAUUAUGCAGUUUCUAAUUACAUUGAAAAUAUAUAACUAAAAACAUUACUUUAUGGUUGAAAUAUAACAGCUUUCAAUUGUUAUUUAGCAAAAUAAGAAAAUGAAUAUAAAUGAGAAAUUUUCAUCGUCCGUUUUUGAAGACAUUCCCUUAUGCUUAAUUGAUUUUGAAUUGAAAAUUCCGACAGUAUGUAGAUUUUUUAUCCAACCCACAUAUGUUGCCAAUAUUAAAACGUUGAAUUAACGGAGUCUUUCUUUAAAACUAAUCGACGAAAAUCUGUUACAAAAUACUAAAACUCUAUUUAUUAAAGAAGAAUGUCAAUAAAAAAAGAAAGAAAAUAAGUAGUAUUUAUAUCCCAACUCAUGAAAACAUCCAUGUUAACUAAUAAAUGUCAUUUACAUGCAUAUUCAGUGACAUGUAGACAUUCCUAUGCAUAACUGCAGACUGUUUACACGGUUGUCAGAGUUUAAUCCUUACUUUAUAUCAUAAAGUGUCUCAUAAAAAUGGCAAACAAAAGUGUAAAGAAAAAAAUAUUAUUUUGAUAAACCAUCAUUCAUAAACUCGCCUUAGAAAAAUAUACUAACGCUUAUACAAUUAUCGGGUUACUAUCCGUACUGAUCUGUGUCCACACUUGUUUUGAUAAAAUUAAAAAAAAUAAAAAAACAUAAUCCAUUCUCAAUUUUAUUUAUAUAUAGAUUUUAAUCAAACAAACAAAAAACAUAUCCACGAAACAAAUAGAACAUUGGAUCUAUUUAUGAAAUUACAUGAGUUAAAAUUAUUUUUUUUAAAGCCAAUUAAAAACUAUUGGACAAGAAACGAUAACUAUAUAUAGAUAUCGAAAGUUGUGGUAUGAGAGCCAACGAGACAACUCUCCAUCCAAGUAACAAUUUAUAAUGUAACCAAUAUACCUUUUUAGCACAAAAAACACACGAUAAUGUACAAUAUCAUAAAGUUCUUAUCAAAACCUCUUACAGAAACACUUAAUUAACAAAUAAGGGUAUAAUGGGCUAAAAUCUUAACUCCACUAAUGACAAUACUAUAGAUGAUACAAUCUAUAUAAAAAAAGUUUUAAAGUUAUUAGGGAUACAGUAAGAGACCAUUUUGUUGUAAAAAUGAAAUCGUCAUGCUUACAUUCUUAAAAGGAGUUUACUAAUUGUGGUAUAGUAUUCACUUAAUUAACGAUGGAAGAUAUUUCAGGCCACGCAGAGAAUAAUAACAAAACGAAUGAUUUUAAUGACAUCUGAUUUCAUACUCGUAAUUAGUUCAAAAAUUUUACAUGCAGUCCAAAUCAACUUAGUUUUAAUUAUCAAGUGACUACAAGAUAUGAAUUUAAUUACGCAAUAAGUUUACCUUUCAACUCCGCAUUUGAUCAAUAGAUUUUAUAACUGCAAAUGGAAUAUAUAUUAAAAACUGUUUUUAUCUCUCUUUUAACUAGUCAAGGUCGAUUGUGUAGUUAGCCCAUGGGGAAGCUGGUCAACCACUCCCGAUGAGUCAGGACACGUUGUGAGGUAUAGAAAGGUUGUACAGUAUCCACUGAAUGGAGCUGGCCCUUGUCCUCAUAUAGAGGAAUACCGAGCAGGUAAAGUCAUCAGAUUAAAAAAAAAAUUAAAUGUUUGUAAAUGUUCAUGAUAAUGAUAAAUACCAAUAAUAGUGGUACAUCAUCUUUUGGUAACACGUUUGCUGCUGUAUUCAAAUACUUACUCUCAAUUGACGUGAUAUUGAAUUUAUAGUAAAAGACAAUCAAGAUUAUCAAAAUGAAAAAAAAAUUGUCUGUCCGGAGAGCUUUUCUCGGUUUUUAUCUUGAAUGCUCAAACUGAAAGAUUGUGUAUUUUGUUAUCAGAUAAACUGCUAUUAUUGACCGCUUAACCGAAUGCGUUUCUUUUUAUUUCCUAACAGUCCCAUUGCCUUGUCUUGUAUGCGAGUGGUCAAAAUGGAGCGAAGUAGACGAGACAGGAACAAUCUACAGAUCCAGGAAGGUUAUUAGACCAGCCAUGAACGGAGGAAAAGGUUGCCCACCUCUUAUUGAAAUCAAAAAAGGUAAACUCAUCUACUGAUUACUCAAACUAAAAUGGAAAUAUUAUUUUAAGCAUAAACAAAAGAGGAAGCUUUCAAAGUUAUCAAUGUAAAUUGUUGUACAACUAAGAGGGGAAAUAAAAAUAAAUAUCGUAUCUACUAUAUAAGAGGAUCUGGGCGGGGUCUAGAGAAUAUAUAAUAAUGCCCACACAAUCAAUAUACAUACCCUGAUAUAACAGACGUGGAUGAAAACUUAGAUUAACUUUUGAUAACUAGUUUGAAUAAAGAGAAAUGAAAAAUUCGGCUUGUGUGUUUUUUAAAGGGGGCGACAUUGUUUAUUCCGACAAACAAAAAUCCGAACUAUCCACUUAAAAAAUGCAAUAAUAUCAAACCUUUUUAACAGUUCCAUUGCCAUGCAUCGUCAAUCCAUGGACUGAAUGGGCUGGCCCUGACCAUACCGGAACCAUGUACAGAACCAGAUGUGUAAGACGUCCUGCCCUAAAUGGUGGCACAGCUUGUCCAGCCUUGAUUGAAAUGAAAAAGGGUUUGUGCAUCUUUUCUUAAACAGAGAUAGAAAUGAAAGGGGAAAACUAUUCGAUGUUAUUAAUCAGCUAUGUCGUUAUUUCAGACAAAUAUGCAAAAAAUUCAAAUGAGAUAUUAGACAAAAACGUAAAAUAACUUACAAUCAAUUUCAUUGAAAAUUCAUUUUAAGGAAUAGCUCCUGUUGUUUUUAAUUAUGAUGCUUCUGGCCAUUUACUCGAAUCAUAUGUAUAUAUAGAUGUAUGUUUAAAUUUGGAUUGCAGCUACACUUUUGAUAUGUUUUAAGGAUAAUAUGACAUAUAUCUGAAAAUGAGUUUAUAAUCUGUAUAAAUCUUCUAAACGAAAACCAAUCUUAUAUUUUCUUUCUGUAGUAGAUUAUUAUUUGAAAUCGUAUAAAUUACAAUGGAAUUAUUUCAAGAAUUAGAUAAUUGAAACAUGUUGAUAAAUAUUAUUUAUCAAUUUUAUAGUUCCUCUUCCUUGUAUUGUUGGUCCUUGGAGCAGUUGGUCAGUGCCAGACGACACGGGUACCAGGUCACGAAUCAGAUUUGUACAAAGACCACCUAUAAACGGAGGUCAUGCAUGUCCUGAAUUGAUACAACUCGGACAAGGUUAGUAUAGCAAGCGUAAACAUUUUCAAUAUGUUUAUAUGAAUGCAUGAUGUGCUUUGUUUUUUUUUUUUUAAAUUGUAGCAUCAUUUUCGUCCGUUUCACUCACUGAAAACUCGAAUUCACUAAUUUCAGUAACACUUUUCUUUGACAGUGUAUUAUCAGAUUUGUGUGCAUCACCAAUAAACAUGUGUGCGCAAACACAUUACUUUGUUGCUUCUUAUGUCAGCUUGCUGUCUAGUUCAUUCCGCGCGCGUCUGAGAGCUCAGACUACCUGUACAUUAUUUAAUGUUCUAUUGUCGAUUUAUAAAACAUGAACUUUUCGUAUUUUCUUUAGAACAAUUGAUAAGUAUUUGAAUGUUAUCUCUCAAUUUUUUUUUCAUUUUCUUUUUACAAACAACAAACUUUUUGUUUAAUUUUGAAAAAGCACUUAAACAGUUAAAUCCGGAAUUCCCUUUAUCUGUUCCGAUACAUACUUUGUUACUUAGAAAAUUGACAUCCGGUAAGAAAGGUUUGCGAAAUUCGAUGUUUUAAAAAAUGACUAUUUUAUUACCACGGUGAUAGAUGCCAUUUCAGACAAAAUUCAGGUAUGGAAGUUAAUAAUAUGAGUCAAGUUUUACCCGAAAUGUAAGCCAGUAAUUGUAACAUGAGACAGGUGUAACGGCUAUUAGUCGAAAAUACCCGUUAAAGACUUAUGUAUUGCUUAAAUAAUAAGUAUUGACUUUUCUGAUGUUACAAGGAAUUCUGUAAUUUUGUAAAGUAUCACUUAAAAUGUAGGUCUUGAACACCACAAAUAUAAAAACCUCGAUAAAAACUGAUCUUUUUAAUAGAAUUCAUGGCCAAUCCUAGAGCAAAGUUUGUAAAACAGCAUCACAAGCUAUCCUUUUUUGUAUUUUUAUUAUUAUUAUAACCCUGAUAACAAGAAUAACUUAAAAUAUAAUUAUAUUUUAACUUUUUGAUGUAAAUUACAAUGAAUAAAUGAAAUAAAUCCCUUUCUAGCACUUUUUCUAGAUGGCACAAAUUAUUUAUGUAUUAUAAAGGAGUAGGUUCAGUAAGACCCCUUUUUAGCCUCAAAAUAUAGCAGUUUUAGAAAAUUGUGAAAAUGUAAUCGUUUAGAUAUUUAUUGCAAAGUAGAAUGCUUCUGCUACAUAAAUAUGGGCUGUUUUUGACAACACAAUGCACAUAUAUCGGGUACUAGCAUCAUUAAGUCAUGCUAAAUUACUGAAAUCUUCACAAUUGUAGCAUUUUAGUUAAAUUUUAGAUGGUUUCCGUCUGAAAUGAAAGUGGCCGCAUUCGUGUUCAUUCAUAAUAUUGAAAUAUAAGUUGUAUUUGAUGAUAUUACAUAAAACAUUGUAUAUAUAAAGGUUGAGGAUGAACGCGGAUGCGGCCACUUUCAUUUUUGACAAAAACCAUCUGAAAAAUGACGAUUUUUGGCAUAUUUGAUAGAUUUUUCAUAUUUAAGCUUGAAUCGGGGCGUUUUAAAUGACUUAUUAAGUUAAAAUCUUCCACAUUAACUAAUUGAAUCAAUUGAAAUAGACACUCAAGUGUUUAGAAAGUGUCUAAAAUCUUUCUUUAGAUGAACUUGAAAAUUGAGCAUGAGAUCGGCCCUUACCGGACCUACUCCUGUGCUUAAAAUAUAUAUAAGAGAGUCACUCUUGACUUAUAAUUCAAUUCAUUUCAAAUAUGUAUUGUCAUAAAAACUCUUAUACAAUGUCUGACAAAUUAUAUGAAUACAAACAUACAAAAAAUACAUUUCACAAACAAAACCAUAGGAAAACAUAUUUCAUAAAUUAUAAAAUGUUAAAAAAAGCAAUAAAAUGUAUUUUUAUAUAUAUGUCCAGUCCAAAUUAAAAAAUAUUUAACCUCCAAAUUUUUACUUUUAUUGUUUUGAGUUAUGCACUUUAUACAAUGAUCUACAACAUAACAUUUCAGAGAAAUGUGUAUUUGCAUUCCAGGUCAUUCAGGUUAUGGCAAUAAAGGCCCUCAUGGGGCAGGUUUGGGUGGGCUUCACCCAGGCCUAGGCCCUGAUGGACGCGCGCUAGCAAAUAGACU